rnacentral:misc_RNA from 1 species
GUGAAUCAUCGAAUUUUUGAACGCAAAUUGCACUCUCCGGUUUUCCGGGAAAGUAUGCCUGUUUGAGGGUCAGCCUAAAUAAAAUCGGCUUAGUAGUUUGCUGUGUUUUUCACGGUAACGUUGGUCGGAAUUUGGGUCAUCUUAAACCGAAAGGUUUUUAAGCGACUUAAAAUUUUCUUACGAUCUCGCGAACGUUUCUAAGAAUUUCUUGUACGUUCGCGACAUCGAAAUCAUAUUAGGGGCGACCGCCGCGUCGGGUUCGCUCCCAUAAUGUAUCAUCUAAGGACCUCAGACAGGUAAG